AGCGAACGCUGGCGGCAGGCCUAACACAUGCAAGUCGAACGAACUCUUCGGAGUUAGUGGCGGACGGGUGAGUAACACGUGGGAACGUGCCCUUAGGUUAGGAAUAACUCAGGGAAAGUUGUGCUAAUACCGCAUGUGCUCUUCGGGGGUAAGAUUUAUCGCCUUUAGAGCGGCCCGCGUCUGAUUAGCUAGUUGGUGAUGUAAAGGCUCACCAAGGCGACGAUCAGUAGCUGGUCUGAUAGGAUGAUCAUCCACAUUGGGACUGAGACACGGCCCAAACUCCUACGGAAGGCAGCAGUAGGGAGUCUUGCGCAAUGAGCGAAAGCCUGACGCAGCCAUGCCGCGUAAAUGAUGAAGGUCUUAGGAUUGUAAAAUUCUUUCACCGGGAACGAUAAUGACGGUACCCGGAGAAGAAGCCCCGGCUAACUUCGUG
rnacentral:rRNA from 1 species